UCAUGGCAGGACAUUUACGGUGUCCCGACAGUGAUUAGAGGAUAGCAAGCUAAGUGUGCUGGGGGCACCAAGGCCAGGGGCACUGUUCUGCCAGCUGAGUGACUGAUUCCAGCCACUGCGCGGGAAUAAGUCACUGCACCUGGGGGCUUGGAGGCUUCUAGGAAAAAGUUGAAGUGGCAAGUGUUAAACCUGGGAUGUAAAGGGCCCAUGUCACUGAGCAGACGGGACAGGGCAUGGCUGUGACUGCAGAAGCCAGUCUCUCCUUGACCUGUGCUGUCUCUGUGACCCUGUGCAUCCCUUAGCCACUCGGCCUCACAUUCUUCCUGUGGAAAAUGGGAUGAUAUUUCCUGGUCUGUCUUCCUCACAGGUUUGGAUGACCAUGAAAUGAAAGCUGCAUGACCAAGAGUUUUGGCAACCCUACAUGACUACAUGAAGCCCGGGGUCACCAUGAUGUCAUCAGCAUUGUCUGCAGGGGGGAGGGGUCCUGAUCGGCUGACUGUGGAUCACUGGCUCCAGGAAGGGGAUGCCUCGUGGACAUCUCGGUGUCCCCCACCCUGCACUUCACAGACACACACCCUCUUCCCGGCGCCAGGACAAAUCCCACUCAGAGAUGUGUCCCCAUGGGGUUAAAACGACACGAGGCCCUCAUACCAGGGAGCUCCGCCACCGCAUCCCCAGGAUUGGACACAUACAUGAAAAGUCCCACGGUCCCUGCCACCAACCCUCGAGACAGACAGCAGGCUCCAGCCCCUCUCUUAUCCCAGGCUCAGCAGUUCUGGAUACUUCUUGGGUAGCAGCACUGUCCAGGGACGAGAUGAUGCAUCCUGAGGCAGAUAGGCAGGGCCAGGAUGUCCUGGAGCCUGUGUCCUCAGCCUGUGGUCCGGGGACCUCCCCAGCCUGUAAAGCCGAGUCACGUCUGAGAAGGAACUUUGUUUUCUCUCAUUUGGAUAUUCAUUGGCCAGACUUGUGUCCACACUGCAGCCGGCAGGGUCCCUGCCUCAGGUGUUGCAACUUCAUGCAUUAAUGAGGCAAAUAUUAACCAAAUGCCUCCCGCACUAUGUAUUAGACGCCAGGAAGACAUCAGUGAACAAAACAGAUUUUGAAUUUCCCUUUCUUCAUGGGACUUACGUUCUCAUGGUGUGGGGUGAGGUACAGGAAAGAAGCAAUCAGUAACUAGGUUGCGAGGUAUCUUAAAUGAUAAAUGACGUGGAAGUUAGUAGGAUCUGGAGGGUGGGGUGCUGCAGGGUGGAGGGGGCAGGGAAUUUCACCUUAACUAGGGAGCUCCAGGAAGGCUCAUGGAGAAGGUGCCACCAGAGCUGAUAUAGGAGGUGAGCAUCAGGAAAGGAACAUUCUGGUCAGGGGAACAGCCAGGGCAGAGAGUGACACCUUGGCCACCACCUGGUGUGUUUGAGGAACAAGGGGACCCGUGGCGUGAGACCGGUGAGUCAGGGAAGUAGUAAUUAGGGAGACCAGCAGGCCAGGUGUGGAGUCGUCCUGGCAAGUGAUAACGGGAGGAGAGUGGCUCCAAACCAGCUGGUGAUAAGGGCUGGCUUUCGUUUGGGUCCUUGAAGCCCUUAUAGUUUAGGAAUGUCUUCUUUAAGGAAGAAAUAAAAUAAAAUUACAAAUAUGAAAUUAAAGCACGGGGUUUUGGAAAGGCAAGCAAGGGACCCUGAAGCUUGGACUCCUUAGCUUCCUGCUGAUGAAGCAGAGGACGUGGGGCUUGGGCUUGGGAUCACCUCAGAGCAUCCCACUCACCCCAAGAUAACAUCCCUCCCACCCCCGUUUCCUCCCCUACAGUGCUGCCCUUCUGUGACUUUUUUCCCGUUCCAGACUUACUGCCUUCCAUGUCAGCCAGAGAUUGCCUACAUAGAAAUUGGGAUGGAGAGGAGUCGAGUCCACAGCAUGUCCCAGCCUGGCCAGCCCACAGGGACAACACCAACAGUGAGGGAAGAGAAAUCAGGAGGACAAGGCAUACACCCGGAAAGGAGGCUGGGGGCCCCCCUCCAGACCCCCCACUGUGAGCUUUCAGGGGUGGCAGGGAGGGGCCAGGCCCCACAGACCUGAGCGUGGGACUCUCUUGAGCUGGCUGCUUGAGCCCCACCCCAGGGGCCCAGAGUCUGCUUUGGAAAGCUGGAAGGGCCGGGGGGCCGAGUGGAGCAGGCCGGAGAGGUAAGGUCCAUUAUGUACAGUCCUCACUACCUUACCAGAGGCAGGGAAGCAGCGUGCAGACCAACAGCCUUUCUUACUUCCACAAGAUGUGGCUGCUGAGGGGCCUCGUAUGCCUUGUUUUCUUCCCCCUUUCUUCUUCCUUCUCUUCCUCCCUCCCUCCUACUUUCUCCAUCGCUCUUUUCUCUCUCUUUUCCUCCUGGGAAAGGAUGCCAUCUAAAAGCAGCCAAUGUGUGUACAUUUUUACCAAUUAAAAAAUCUCGUAAUAAAGUUGCUAGCUGCUAUUUCUGUCAAGGUGGAGACAUUUUCUUCUUUUAAUUUUUUUAAUGUUGAUUUAUUUUUGAGAGAUAGAGCAUGAGCAGGGGAGGGGCAGAGAGAGAGGGAGACACAGAAUCUGAAGCAGGAUCCAGGCUCUGAGCUGUCAGCACAGAGCCUGACGCAGGGCUCGAACCCACAAGCCAUGAGAUCAUGACCUGAGCCAAAGUUAGAUGCUCAACCCACUAAGCCACCCAAGCGCCCCUUUCUUUUAAUUUUUAAAAAAUGUUUAUUUAUUUUUGAGAGAGAGAAACAGAGCGUGAGUGGGGGAGGGGCAGAGAAAGAGCUACACAGGAUCUGAGUAGCUCCAGGCUCUGAGUGGUCAGCAUAGAGUCUGACUUGGGGCUCAAACUCAUGGACUGUGAGAUCAUGACUUGAGCCAAAGUCAGAUGCUUAACCGACUGAGCCACCCAGAAGCCCUAUCUAGGUGGAGACAUUUAAACAAAUUUGGUUAUCAUGUGGGAAUUUUGAUAAAUUUGUUUAAAUGGGAUUCUUGUUGUAAUACAAUCCUUCACCUUCUGAGAUGAAUCAGUCAACCGAGCAAUAAAUACAGUGCACCUGCUGUCUGUAGAGUUUUAUUCUGGUCCCUG